CCUCAUUCAUUUGCAUUGAUUUUUUGUCCUUACAGUGAAUGGGAUCCAGUGCUGUUCGGUUACCGAUUUUCUACAAAAUAUAUUCUCUUGUAUUCUGUGGAAGAAAUCAUAAAGGUUUGAAAUGACGAGAGGGUGAGUAAAUGACAAAAAUUUUUUUUGGGUGAACUAUCACUUUAAUGACAAUAUUGUGGUAAAAUAAGCUAGUAGAAGAACUUAAAAAUGUGUUCGUAUUGGUAUCCUAUUAUAUAAUUUGGUUUGUACUGUAUAAAUGACCCAGCUGUUUCGUUGACCAGAUUUAGGUAAAAAUAAAAAUUCAGCUCAUUCCCAUUUGCUUCUUCAUAGUCCUCCAGAAGUCAUCUCAAAUAGGUUCGAAGGCAUUUCAUCAAACCUGUGAGUCACGAUGAAAAAGUCAACGGCCAUGUUAAAUGUGCUAGAGUGUACGCAUUCAGAAGGAAAGGCACGAGUUGAAGGUGAGGUCCAAGUAAAAGCACCAAAACAAAGCAUGUGGAUUUGUUGGAUAACCUGGAAGAGCUUGAGGCGAGAUUCAGCUGUGACUUCUGUUUCCUUCUGUGGGAAGACAAACAUUGCCUUGAGCUUCCCCGGAAAUCACACAGAGAACCCAAACCAAAGCUGAUGUCCCCUAACACACUCAACACAUCUAACAUCUCCACAAAUCACAGAGAAUCACCACAGCGUUAAACAAAUAAUCAUCAAACGUUCUGUUUGAAAUGAGAAGGUUUCAUUUGGAAAAGAGAGAAUCCUUGCUUUUCCUUUGUAAAAGGCGUUUGUGAGGAGAAUGAUGCUAAUUUGGAAAGAUUAAAACCUUAACUAAGAACUAAUACACAACUACACCUGUCAUUUCAGCCCAACGAUCCAACUCUUUCUGCACGCCGUAUGCCUGAGCAACAUUUCGCUCUGGAUGAAGGACCAUCCCCUGCAGCUGAACCUUAUAAAAAAAGAACUGCUCGUAAUACCGGCCAUUACAAAGAUUCAUCACAACUUCUCCAUCCAACUGGGCUCAUCAAGCAUCACAUCUGGCAACGGUGAUUGAUGAUCAGCUAAACUUCUCAGAUCAGGUUACCAGCAUCACACAGUCCUGUAGAUUCAUCCUAUACAAUAUUAGGAAAAUUAAGCCUUUCCUCUCCGAGUAUGCUCGCAAGUCCUAGUCCACGCUGUUGUUCCGUCUGGACUGGACUAUUGCAUUGCGCUACCAGUUGGACUUUCUGCUUGCACAACAAAACCUAUACAGAUGAUCAUGAAUGCAGUGGCAAGAGUGGUCUUCAAUGAGAGCACACGUCACUCCUCUCUUCAUUAAGAUACAUUGGCUCCCUGUAGUUGCUCGCAUCAAAUUCAAGACUCAGCUCCUGGCCUACAAACGAACAACGUCUUUUGGUGCCAUCCCUAAAAGAUAACAGACGGGAAACUCUUCUAUCAUGCUGAGAUAAGAGAGACCAUCAGGCACUCCUCUCUGCUGGUUCAAAUCCUACCCCUCUGGCAGAUCCUUCAGGGUGUCAUGGAGGGGCUCGCUGUCCACUGCUCACCACAUGAUCACUGGGGUCCCUCAGGGAUCGGUGCUUGGACUGCUGCUUUUGCCAUCUACACGACAUCCUUGGGACCCAUAAUACGGGCACACGGCUUCUCGUAUCACUGUUAUGCUGACGACACCCAGAUCUACAUGUCGUUUCAUCCAAUACCACUGUAGCAGCUCGCAUUACAGCCUGCCUAGAAGACAUCUCAGCUAGGAUUUAAGAGCAUCACCUCCAGCUGAACCCUGCCAAGACAGAACUACUCGUGUUUCCGGCACGACCCAGGGUGCAACAUGGUCUCACCAUCCGGCUGAGGAUCUUUCCUGGGGCAUUAACACUGCCUCAGUUGUAGGAAAGGCCCAACAGCGCCUCUUUUACCUGAGACGAUUGAGGAGAGUAAAAUUUCCAAAGCAGCUCCUGGUAAAUUUCUAUCAUUGUAACAUUUAGAGUGUACUGACUUAUGGACUUUUGGUGUGGUUUUCCAGCUUUCCAGUGGCUUGCCAGCUUGCUCAUACAUGUAAUAUGUAAGUAAUAUAUCAUUUAGUAUUAUAUUCGGCCUUAAAACACCACUUCCCGGACACUUCCGUCUGUAAUUUCAAAAUGAAUGAUUUCAAAAAUAUCAUGUCUCUUAUCGGUGUUUGUUAUAGCUGUGAUAUGAACUUCGAUAUUCUCCUUCAUUAAGAACGUCCAUCAAAGCUGUGUAAAUAUCACUGUUACAAUAAUGAAAAAGCAAUUUUUUCAUAUUAAUCAUCAAAGCUAAGAUCACCUGUCAAUCAAACUGCUUGCAAAAAGUAAAUUAUACCCAACGAAUGGAGAAGGGAUGCCCCUUGUAGAACAUAAAUGUUACUUUAUUUAAGUUUUCAUGCGCCCAAUUUAUGAGGAAUAUGGACUAUUAUGGAUGUGACAAUCCUGAAAAGGGCACUUCACUGACUGUGAAAUAUUAUGCACUAAAAAUAUAAAAAAACUUAAGAGACCUCACAUGGGUAUUUGAACCACCAAGUGUUGACAUCUGUGCUAUCAGUAUAGUAAAAAACGAUAGUUGAUUUUUUUAUGAAAAGGUUGAUGUUAUCACAGACUUGCCCACAUACUUCUUAAAGGGACCCCAAAAUGAAAAUUCUGUUCCAAAUCUUUAGAAAUGUCUUUGUUUU